rnacentral:rRNA from 1 species
UACGAAGGGAGCUAGCGUUGUUCGGAAUUACUGGGCGUAAAGGGCGCGUAGGCGGUUUAACAAGUCAGAUGUGAAAGCCCUGGGCUCAACCCGGGAACCGCGUUUGAGACUGUUAGACUUGAAUUCGGUAGAGGUGAGUGGAAUUCCCAGUGUAGAGGUGAAAUUCGUAGAGAUUGGGAAGAACACCCGUGGCGAAGGCGGCUCACUGGACCGAUAUUGACGCUGAGGCGCGAAAGCGUGGGGAGCAAACAGG